UUCUAAAAUGGCAGAUCAUUGCAUAGGAUUUAAGCUCCUAAUAGGAAAUCAAGAAUUUCUUUUAGAAA
rnacentral:tRNA from 1 species